GGGUGCUGCUGGGCUUCUAAUAUCCCACCCUUUUCAUAUAAUUUAGAUUUUUAAAAUGUAUAUUUCAUAUAUUGCGUAGGUAAAAAUGUUACCUUUUCCCAUAUCGUUUUGGUGUGAUGUUGUGUGUAAUGGUCUGUAAUGUAAGAGUUGAAUACCAAAGUGCAAAAAGAGAAAAAUUUGUUGAUAAAAACAACUGGGAACACCAAGAAAGACGACAAAGAAGUUAUGGGAACUUUAUUUACCUAUUCACAUAUUUAAGAGCUCGAAAAGGUGACCUGUUCCAGCGGCAUGUUCUCCCGGGGGGUGUUACUUCCUAUAUUUUUAGUGGUAUGAGUGUGCCGCAAAACAGGGUCGCUUUUUGAUGCCCUGCUGGUUAGAACAGGGUACCCUUUUCAUGUACUGCUGGUUAGAACAGGGUCGCUUUUUUCAUGCCCUGCUGGUGAGAACAGUUUUUUUUUAAACAAAGUAUUUGUCUAGAC
rnacentral:lncRNA from 1 species